UCGGGGAUUUGGCGGCGGCGGCGGCGGCGAAAGUGGAGGAUGGAGUGGUGAUUCCAAUUUCGAGAAUUCAUCAUCCUCGCGAUUUGGGAUUCUUGCUCAUUUCCUGAAUGGAUGGCGAUCAAGGGUGGCUGCGGAUCCACAAUUCCCUUUCAAGGUUCUAAUGGAGGAAUUGGUGGGUGUCUCCGCUUGUGUUCUUGGUGACAUGGCUUCUCGUCCUAAUUUUGG
rnacentral:misc_RNA from 1 species